rnacentral:rRNA from 1 species
CUGACCUCAAAUCAGGUAGGAUUACCCGCUGAACUUAAGCAUAUCAAUAAGCGGAGGAAAAGAAACUAACAAGGAUUCCCCUAGUAACUGCGAGUGAAGCGGGAAAAGCUCAAAUUUAAAAUCUGACGGUCCUCGUGGUCGUUCGAGUUGUAAUCUGGAGAAGUGCUUUCCGCGCUGGACCGUGUACAAGUCUCUUGGAACAGAGCGUCAUAGAGGGUGAGAAUCCCGUCUUUGACACGGACUACCAGUGCUUUGUGAUGCGCUCUCGAAGAGUCGAGUUGUUUGGGAAUGCAGCUCAAAAUGGGUGGUAAAUUCCAUCUAAAGCUAAAUAUUGGCGAGAGACCGAUAGCGAACAAGUACCGUGAGGGAAAGAUGAAAAGAACUUUGGAAAGAGAGUUAAACAGUACGUGAAAUUGCUGAAAGGGAAACGCUUGAAGUCAGUCGCGUUGGUUGGGACUCAGCCUUGCUUUUGCUCGGUUUAUUUUCUGGUUAACGGGUCAGCAUCAGUUUUGAUCGUCGGACAAUGGCCAGGGGAAUGUGGCAUCUUCGGAUGUGUUAUAGCCCUUGGUCG